rnacentral:rRNA from 1 species
CGAGCGCACCCUUCGGGGCGAGCGGCGGACGGGUUAGUAACGCGUGGGAACAUACCCUUUUCUAUGGAAUAGCCUUUGGAAACGAAGAGUAAUACCAUAUACGCCCUUCGGGGGAAAGAUUUAUCGGAGAAGGAUUGGCCCGCGUAAGAUUAGAUAGUUGGUGGGGUAAUGGCCUACCAAGUCUACGAUCUUUAGCUGGUUUUAGAGGAUGAUCAGCAACACUGGGACUGAGACACGGCCCAGACUCCUACGGGAGGCAGCAGUGGGGAAUCUUAGACAAUGGGCGCAAGCCUGAUCUAGCCAUGCCGCGUGUGUGAUGAAGGCCUUAGGGUCGUAAAGCACUUUCGCCAGAGAUGAUAAUGACAGUAUCUGGUAAAGAAACCCCGGCUAACUCCGUGCCAGCAGCCGCGGUAAUACGGAGGGGGUUAGCGUUGUUCGGAAUUACUGGGCGUAAAGCGCGCGUAGGCGGAUUAGAAAGUUAGGGGUGAAAUCCCGGGGCUCAACCUCGGAACUGCCUCUAAAACUACUAGUCUAGAGUUCGAGAGAGGUGAGUGGAAUUCCGAGUGUAGAGGUGAAAUUCGUAGAUAUUCGGAGGAACACCAGUGGCGAAGGCGGCU